UACGGAGGGUGCAAGCGUUAUCCGGAUUCACUGGGUUUAAAGGGUGCGUAGGAGGGCAGGUAAGUCAGUGGUGAAAUCCCCGAGCUUAACUUGGGAACUGCCGUUGAUACUAUCUGUCUUGAAUAUUGUGGAGGUGAGCGGAAUAUGUCAUGUAGCGGUGAAAUGCUUAGAUAUGACAUAGAACACCAAUUGCGAAGGCAGCUCGCUACACAAAUAUUGACUCUGAGGCACGAAAGCGUGGGGAUCAAACAGG
rnacentral:rRNA from 1 species